GGAUUAACCACACCCCAUCUAUCCUGUCUGUGUGUGCACACCAGAGGACAAUCCUGGGUAUUGUCCUCAGCAUCGCUGUCCACCUUGUCUGAGACAGGGUCUCCACUGGUCUGGGGCUCACCAGUUACACUAGGCUGGCUGACCAGUGAGACACAAGGGUCCGCCUGUCUCUGCCUGACUGACGCUGUGGUCUCAAGUGAAUCCCAUUGUGCCCAGCUUUUCCGUGCAGGUUGCAGGGACUUAGCUGGGGUCUUGUGCUGGCCAGGAAAGCACUUUCAGGCUGCGUUCCCUCUCCAUCGCUGGCGCAGAGUUUUAUUACUGCUAUGGUUAUCUUUCAGGGCUGUGGCAUCUCUCCUGGACUUCGGAUUACAUGUCACCUAUUCCAGACUCUCGGGUUUAGGGCUGAUCUCUUGUCCAGGCUCAUGAUCUGGUUCCUAGGUUGGACCAUGGGCUCUACCCUAGUUUGUGUCCUCCU
rnacentral:lncRNA from 1 species